rfam:Flavobacterium psychrophilum JIP02/86 complete genome
GUUUAGCCCCGAUAGUAGUGGAAAUCCUCGCCAUUUUUCUUGGCGAGAUUGCAACGGAUAGCGGGAAAUAGC